UACGAAGGGGGCUAGCGUUGCUCGGAAUCACUGGGCGUAAAGGGUGCGUAGGCGGGUCUUUAAGUCAGGGGUGAAAUCCUGGAGCUCAACUCCAGAACUGCCUUUGAUACUGAGGAUCUUGAGUCCGGGAGAGGUGAGUGGAACUGCGAGUGUAGAGGUGAAAUUCGUAGAUAUUCGCAAGAACACCAGUGGCGAAGGCGGCUCGCUGGUCCGGUACUGACGCUGAGGUGCGAAAGCGUGGGGAGCAAACAGG
rnacentral:rRNA from 1 species